GUCUACAGUUCAUUCCUGAAGAAAACUCAUGCUGGAGUCUGAUACCACAACAAUGGUGAGCUGCAAGUCAUAGGCAUGAGCAGGACCCCCAGCUCUGCUUGAAGCCCCCUCAUUAAGGGACAUAGAUAGCAGAAGGUGACUUAUAUGUCACGGGUGGAGCACUCGAGUGCCCAGGACCUUGAUGUCCGUCUGAAUGCGCCGAAUCUCUCUGUCACUGCCGCCCUCCCGCUCACGACUGAUAUUAAAUGGACUCUGCGGCAGCAACGGCGGCACAUGCAAGUUGCUGAGCUCUGCAAAGCUGCAGUGACACUUCAGAUUCACGGCUUUGCCCUGGCUGAACUCGCACACGGCUGACCCCCCUGGAGCUUCCCCAUGGAUCCAGCCGGAGGUUUCCGCAGAGCUGCUGCUUGUCGGGCUGCACCUUUCCCUGCCUGCGGCACGUGAGGGACAGCAGCCGUGGCCAGCCUGGGCGCAGACGUUUUGGCAAGCCAAGUCUACUGGCUGAGUGUGAAACACUUGGACACCGUGGUGAUCAGGGCUAUGUCUGUGCCCACAGAGCAUGACAUUUAACAAAACCCCUAGCUCUGCAAAGUGUGCAUAUUCAAGAACAUAGUAUGUAUUACUGUCUGUUUUUAAGYGUCCCCAAAAUUUAUUGAAGAAAUAGCCAGUAUUUAAUUGGUGGUUAUGGACUCCUGUGGGAGCUGCUCCAAAACUUGCCAAACUUAGCGGGCCAUUUGCUCUACAGGUUAACUCAGGAGGGAUUUCAAAAGCCAGCCAUGAGUCUUCUGGUCUUGGAUUUGUAGAAACAGCAGCAAAAUUAAUUGAAUUCACCCAGGGCUGCUAAACACAAAAGUUCUGCUUCUGGGGGAAUCUGAGGCACAGGCCACUGUAACAUGGGAGAACGCAGGAGAAAAACAUCACAUUCCUUASACUAAUCUUGCCCCCAGUCUUGGCACUCACUGCUGGCCCUCACCAGAGGCAGGAUCCGAAGCUGUGCAGCCAUUGCCRUGUGUGAG